GCCUGGCAAACUUGGCUCUGGCAGACCUUGCCCUUCUCCCCCAUUCCCUCUACUUAGCUAAAUACUGUUAGAUUACAUUCCUAAAGGACAUGAUUGGCAAUGCUCUGAAGUACCUAGACAGUCAAACAGGAGUACAGGUGGUGGCUUUUUAUCUAAAAUCCCUGCUUCAUACGGCGAGACAAUGGCAGGAUUGAUGAAUCUGAGAAACAUGGCACUUCCUACGGCACCGAUGCUGUUCUGAGGGAAGCGCUGGCUAACCACCUGAGGAGGAGGAGUUGAAAGCUGAGCAGACAGUUUGUGUUGAAAUAAAGAAGUGGAAACAAAGGCUUCAAGGGCAAAGUCUGCACAAAAUUCCAAUAAUCAAUCUUUUGAAUGAUCUGUUUUUAACUUUUUUCCGUGUCUCAAAACACCAGAAAAUAAGAUUUACCCUUAACUGUGA